CCUACGGGUGGCUGCAGUGGGGAAUAUUGGACAAUGGGCGAAAGCCUGAUCCAGCCAUGCCGCGUGUGUGAAGAAGGCCUUCGGGUUGUAAAGCACUUUCAGUGGGGAAGAAAGCCUUGGGGCUAAUACCCUCGAGGAAGGACAUCACCCACAGAAGAAGCACCGGCUAACUCCGUGCCAGCAGCCGCGGUAAUACGGAGGGUGCGAGCGUUAAUCGGAAUUACUGGGCGUAAAGCGCGCGUAGGCGGUCUGAUAAGCCGGUUGUGAAAGCCCCGGGCUCAACCUGGGAACGGCAUCCGGAACUGUCAGGCUAGAGUGCAGGAGAGGAAGGUAGAAUUCCCGGUGUAGCGGUGAAAUGCGUAGAGAUCGGGAGGAAUACCAGUGGCGAAGGCGGCCUUCUGGACUGACACUGACGCUGAGGUGCGAAAGCGUGGGUAGCAAACAGGAUUAGAUACCCGUUUAGUC
rnacentral:rRNA from 1 species